AAUAUUGGACAAUGGGCGCAAGCCUGAUCCAGCCAUGCCGCGUGGGUGAUGAAGGCCUUAGGGUUGUAAAGCCCUUUCGGCGGGGAAGAUAAUGACGGUACCCGCAGAAGAAGCCCCGGCUAACUUCGUGCCAGCAGCCGCGGUAAUACGAAGGGGGUUAGCGUUGCUCGGAAUCACUGGGCGUAAAGCGCACGUAGGCGGAUUGCUAAGUCAGGGGUGAAAUCCUGGAGCUCAACUCCAGAACUGCCUUUGAUACUGGCGACCUUGAGUCCGGGAGAGGUGAGUGGAACUGCGAGUGUAGAGGUGAAAUUCGUAGAUAUUCGCAAGAACACCAGUGGCGAAGGCGGCUCACUGGCCCGGUACUGACGCUGAGGUGCGAAAGCGUGGGGAGCAA
rnacentral:rRNA from 1 species